CGAGUUGGCCGGGCGGCCGCGGACCGGAGACGGUUCGAGGAAAGUCCGGACUUCGCAGAGCAGGGUGAUUGCUAACGGCAAUCCGAGGUGACUCGCGGGAAAGUGCCACAGAAAACAGACCGCCGCCGCUGAGCUUUCGGGCUCCGGCGGUAAGGGUGAAACGGUGCGGUAAGAGCGCACCAGCAUUCCGGGUGACCGGAGUGGCUAGGCAAACCCCACCCGAAGCAAGGCCAAGAAGGCCGCACGCGAGUGCGGUCGCGCAGGCGCUCGAGGGCUGCUCGCCCGAGCCUGCGGGUAGGCCGCUCGAGGCACCCGGCAACGGUGUGUCCAGAUGGAUGGUCGCCGCUGUGGGUCCCCGGCAACGGGGAAUCGCAGAACAGAAUCCGGCUUACAGGCCAGCUCGUCCG
rnacentral:RNase_P_RNA from 2 species